rnacentral:piRNA from 1 species
UGGCCUUCAUGAAAUACUUUGAGAUGCUG